CGUGCCUUCUAAAUAAACAUUGGAGAAAAUAACCAUUCCUCCUUUCCAACAAAAUCUUUGUAACGUUACUUUAAUCUUCUCCCCACUUUUUGUGAGACAAGAUCUCCCUGGCUGGCCUGAAUCUCUCUCCAUUGGCCAGGCUGGCCUAGAGCCCACAACAAUCUAUCUGCCUCCUCAGUGCUGGGAUUAAAGACCUACUCCACCACUCCUCGACAUCACUUUAACUUUGACUGAACCAAUAAUUUUCUAAAGUAAGCACUUGAUAGUUGUCUGAAAGCAUCUAACAACUCUCAUGGAAUUACAGGUCAAAGAAUUCUGACCCAGUUGAGAGAUGAAAACACAUGGAUGGUUCUUUAGCUUCAGCGAUUCUGAUUACGCCAAGAUGAAUGUUACAUAACUAUUCAGCUUUUCUGUACUCAACUAUUUGUUGAGCCUGUAUAUAAAAUAUUGAUUAAAAAAAACCCUCAAGUUUUAACUGUGCUUGAAUUCUGUAUCCUGGACACACAUUUUUUAUCCAUUGGCUGUAACUUUUUUUUUUUUUUUAAAGUUUUCUUCCCUUAACUUUUCACCAUUCUCUUCAGCAGCAAUUUCAUGAGAACAAGCUGGGGAUCUUCCAGUGGACUCCACCCUCGCCUCAGCCUGGCAAGGCUUUGCUGUUCUAGUCUGUUCCAAAGUGUAAGAAACUGAGGAGACGACGACCCUCCCGGCGUGUCUGUCAGCUUUCCCAAAGGCAGAUCCUGCUCUGCCCAUUUCCCAGCCCUGUCAUCAAUCUUUCCUUAUUCUUAAUCACGGAGCUGAAGCUACAGACAGCAGCUGGCCCUGGAGCCCUCAAGGGGCUCAAAACCACAUUCUUUUACUCGAACGUCUCUACUCUACAAACCUGUAAAAAAUAUUUUGCAAAAUAACAGGAGAAAUUUAAAGUACAGUAUUCUUUGCAAUUUACUUUAUUAUAUUUUUUGUAAAAGAAGCAUUUAAAAAUGUCCAUCGGAUCAAGCCAUUUUAAUUGAGCAGUUUCUAGACAGAAAAUCAAGUCAGUGAGACCAUGGAAAGCCUGUGAGUCAUAUGACCUAGUUGAGUUUAUUUAGAACAUACAAAUACUCACAAAAAUUUGGGCUGCAUCAAAACCAGAUUGUUUCCAGCAGUUUCCCAACUAAAAAUUAGAAGGUUGAAGGAAAAUUGGACAAAUCUCAAAAAAAAAUUACUUUGCAUGAAAACUAGCAACAAGCAAAAUGAAAUAAACGGAACAACAAAAGGAAAAACUUCUACUAUUUUGAAUUUAUGUGUUAAAAACUGUCAAUAAUUAUUUUAGCUCAUAAUAUUUGAUACUUAUUCUCAUAUGACACCAGUACCGUUUUGACAAUUACCAGGAACCAAGAGUGUUGUGGAAUGUGAUUGUUCUCAGGAACAACCAAGUGGGAUUAAAAAUUAAUCUUCUGAUUCACUAUUGCUUCCCGUGAGAAUGAACAGUAUACAGAAGAGAGUGGCCAAAAUAGAAUGCAAGGGGAAAUUGAAUUGGGUAUUAAGUAAUUAGAACAGAUCCAUUACAUUGAAAGACUGCUCUGGCCAGGAAGUGUUGGCACACGCCUUUAAUCCCAGCACUCGGGAGGCAGAGGCAGACAUCUCAGUGAGUUCAAGGCCAGCUUGGUCUACAAAGUGAGUUCCAGGACAGCCAAGACUGUUACACAGAAAUCCUGUAUCAAAAGAAGGAAAGAAAGAAGAAAGAAAGAAAGAAAGAAAGAAAGGAAGGAAGGAAGGAAGGAAGGAAGGAAGGAAGGAAGGAAGAGCGACAGACAGACUAUUCUGGUGCUAUCCUGUCUGUUUUGAGUGGGUGCAAGAUAAAAUGAGGAAGCAGCUGCUGUUUUGCCUUAAUUCUCAUGUGUUAUAACACUCCAUAUGCUGACAGGACAGUUGAAAUGGCCAUACUCUGGCUGCUCCUCCCUCUGAAUGUUCCCACCAACAGGACAGCAAAGUCAUUUUACUUAUUAAAGAGAGAAAGUGAUACACAAUUGAAUCUUCUAGAAACACGAUUCUGAAUUUGGUGAAAGUCACAUCUACAGAGUUUAAGAUAUUUACUUUGGGAACAUACUGGGAGCAUAGCUCAAAAUUUUCCAUUCUUAAAGGUAAAAAUUUUCAGAGAGAAAACAUCAAAUAACGAGUAUAUAUUGGCAAGGUUCAUAUUCAUUUUAGAUUACCAAAAUUUUAUGACUCCUAUUAGAGACUGGGAUGCGUAUGUGCCCAAAGGACCACUGUGAGACCAGCAGUACUUUCCACCCAGGGCUCAACACAGAAUCUCCUUUGGUCUGUGGAUGAACCGCAAGUACACGAGUGGCUGCUCACUGCAGCGGUAUGGAAACGCUACAGUCUAACCACUAAUAAUGGCAACAACUUUUUCCCAGAAUAAAACCAUUACUCUAGAAGCUAUGCCAACAGCUUGGAGUCUAAAAAAAAAAAAUUAUGGAUCUUCAAAAGCUCCAGAUCAGCAUAAUAUGGCAGAGUUGCUUUCAGAUUGCAAAAGUGUGGUUUUAAAGUAAAGAACUUGAGCAGCCUUUUGUUGUGGCCUUCAUCUGUCUUGUAUGUUCUCCAGGGCUGGUGGCAAACAACACCAAUUGCUCGGUGAAGUGGAGCACACUGAAGUUUUGUUCUUCUGCUUAAGUGAACUUUGCUAACAGAACUGUUUAUGCAUGAAAUACAUGUCUGCAUGCAUAGUUCUAAACAUAAAAAACACUUGAAAUAAUUGUCCAGAUAGUGUUAUAAUAUUCUCUUUUGCUUGUUUGUUUGCUUGCUUUGAGAUAGAAUGCAAAACGGAAAUCUGAAGUAGGGAAAUAUCUGUGAAACAUGUGGGACCCUCUACCAUUUUGUUAUUUUCCUAUAAAUCUAAACCUGUUCUGUAAUGAACAGCUCCAUUCUUCUUUUUUUCUGUUUGUUUAUUUUUAACUACUACCAGUAUUAUGAGCUGCAGAACUCAAGUGCUUACAGGCUGAGGGGUUUUUGGAGUUAUUACUAUCAGUCAAAGAAUUUUAGACGCAUAUUAGUAGGAAGACCUAUUUACUAUAGAAAGAGAAAGCCAGUCACACACACUCAACCAGAUGGCUGGCAAUGGGAAGAAAACACAACGUUGGUAUUGAGUAAUAUGGGAAAUGACAUUUGAUGCCUUCACUACUCACUAAUUGGUGAGCUCAGAAAAAAGUACUUCAUUCCUUCAAUGUCCAUCUCCUUUCCUGUAAAACCCAAGCAGCUUUUACUCAUGUAAUUAAUAAGGUAUGAAGCAUCUAUAAUUAGGAUACUUAUUUAAUGAUAACUUUUAUUAGAAAUUCUACAUAUAUGUGUGAAUAUAAUAGUACUGUUAUACUGUUUUAAUAGCUCAAUUGAGAUAAUAAUGCUAACACAUAAAAAUUUAGCUUAAAUGUUUAUAUAGCAUUAAAUGAUUUAAUACCAAGUAAAUAUUCUUUUGAGUUAGUUUGUAAGAGUAACUUUAUUUUCCCUAGCUCUUGAAGCGUUCUGACAUUUUAGUUGUCUGCUUUUUCUAUAGUAUAUCUUUAAGGAAAAGAGGUGGAUACCCAAAACUAAGCAAAUCAUCAGAAGAUCUACACCACUGGAAACAUUAAUACUUGUUCCAGAAAGGGUCUAUCCUGCCAUCAAAGCCAACAGAAUGGCUUUUGAAAGGAAUCUGGGUCUGCCAGAAAUCAUUGUGCUGUGGGAACCAGAUUCCCACAAAGUGCAAUCUGGUUCGCCUUGCUGGUAAGUCAACAGCUCUGCACUUUUUCUACGGUUUGGAAUUUAUCUCAAGGAAGAAUUCAAACCAAAACCAAACUUGGCUCCGGCACUUAGGAAAUCUGAGUAUUCAGGCAACCCAGGGAUUUUGAAGUGUGAGGGGCUGCUGACAGAGUGUCUGCCUGGUUUUGCUUCCUUCAGCAUGGUGGACAAUGAGAAGAACACAGUUCCAAUCUACAUCGGUGUUUGUUUUCCAUGUGUACUCGCUUUGAAAAAAAAUGAUUUCUGUGAGAGUCUCUCGCUUCUUAACUGCAAGUAUAGUAGUUUUCUCUUCCACUGGCAUGUCUUCUCUCAUUUCAUAUGGUCUCACCCUUUCUUACUUGAUGAACUUACUUUUUUACUUGAUGGACUCUAACUUUUUGGCUAUUUUAUAGGAUAUCACAUGCCCUUCGAUCUACUAGGAUGCUGCUUACUAAAGACAACUACAAAGUACAAGAAAUACUCUGCGGUGGCUCUUUACAUGCUGGUGACUCAUUUGGGAUUACUCUUAGUGACGACAUCUAUUUGGGAGGAAGAAUAGAGCACGGCCGGGAAUAAUGUUGGAUUGAUAUGCAACAAUGCCCUUCAAGGGGGGAUCUAUGGAGUCACAGCUGCUCAGAGAUUCCUGCAAGAAGAAAAAAAUGGCUCUUGGCACUUACAAAGAAGCAAGAGGAGAAUGCAACUGCAGACUUCAGAUGUCCAAAGUCUGGCAGCAGGGUACGGAACUGUCUUCAGAGCAUCCUCAUGGAGGGAUGUUGAGCUAGUUGCACCGCUUGGAAAGCGUUUCCACAGUUCUGCUUGGUUUUCUUUCCUAGAGGCAUAUUCACAAGGCAAAUCUUAUGCCCCAUCACUGAAGCUGAUACUGGGAAAGUAAGUGAUGGUCACCAUAACUUUCUGCUGCUGCCCAUCCACACGCCCUUCAUCUCGAUGUUCAGCCAUUCCACCUGCUUGCCUUCAUGCCUUAGAAGUCCAAGAUUCAGAUCUUCCAUUUAGACUUUAGCUACUGCCUGGGUCUAUUUAUCGUAAAUAUGUAAUGAGAAAAAAGCCCAAGCAAUGCCUCAAUGAAUUAUCCACACUAUUAUGUAACAUGUAACAACAAACUUAUCUCCAUUUGAGGAUGAGAAGAAAGAUCUCUUUGUCAGUCCAGUGACAUCUUUCCUCAUCUAAAGAUCUUUUAGAGACUAAAGUAAGUGGUCACACCAAUUAAGUUUAUUGUGAUUUCUUUUUGGGAUGGGAUGUGGGAUAGAAUCAUUAGGAACUCCUGAGGUCCCAUCACCAAUAAUUUUAGGAACAGGGUAUGAUCAUAGUUAUCCACUUUAACUAUAAAGACCCUAGAUGCUACUUACCAUUGACUUUCUAUUGCUGGUGAUAAUUGACUAAUGUCCUGCUUCCCUCUGUGCUCAGGAGGGCUCAUCUCCAAACUGGUGUUUUUUUUUUUUCUUCCUGAGGUGAAAAGAUCAACAUGUAAUUGGAACCACAUUUGGAGUAUGAGAAAUACAGUCUUGGACACAUGGAUCUAAUCUAAUAAUAUUCACAGCACACCCUUGUCUAUAUGACAAUGUAGGUACGUUGGUAUGGUGGGAUGUUCAUGGGAAUACCCUUGAAGUAGAACAGAUUUCUCUGAGCACUGAAGUUUCAUAAGAAAAAAGAAGAUAAAUUUAGGUCCCCAGGAUAAAUUGAUUUCUAUGAUAAUGAAUUGCUCUUGUAGAGGUAGAAGUGUGUCAGUAUUCUUAGUAUGUUAUCUAAUACGAGUUUUUCUCUUCAGGGAAUGGUGAUGUAAGAAAUUAGAGGUGUUCUUUGUUGUUUCCAUAUUGGACAUUGUAUAGUGACAGUUGCUAGAUGAUCCUUGGAAUGUAAGAGUGUAAGCUUUUGUACCUAUGCAUAGCUGCCCCCCUGACAUUACGCUACUCUGCUGCACUCAUAUGCUAAAUAUAGAUACUGGUAAGCACAGUUUCACCAAGUCAUCCCGUCUUCCUGAUAGUUAAUGGUCACAUACAUAUGAGCAUGUGUGUUAGCAUGUGUUAAAAAUAUUUCACAUUUCAUGUGCAAUCUAUUGUACCACCCACAAACGUUAAGCUUUUUGUCCUUUCUUUCUUACCAUAUUCUUGCUAUACUUUUGGCCAAUGACAAAUACUAUGUUGCUUUAAAUCUAUUAACAGAGUUCAGUCAUGUUUCAUUCAAAGCAUGUGAUAAGGUACAUCAUUUUUGAUUAAGGGAUUUCCCAUCAUGCUUGUUUUACUUGGCAAAAGCAUGGAAAAGGACAGCAUUUUCUCAGAGCAUCAGUUAUCUAUCUUCUAAAAGCUACACUGUGAAAUUCAAUAAAAUUGCUAUGCUUAUUCAUCUUAUAUCCCUUGAAUCUUUAAGAAUGAAAAUAAUUUUGCCAUUUUCAUCUGGUGUUCAAGAACUCAGUAGUAAUUUUUGUAAACUUAUUGUCUUUCUUGGAGAGACUAUAGUUUCACCAGAUUCUCUACUGCACUGUCUCCAUCCUACAUGCCAUGGACUACCUUGAUGAUGUUGUCUAGCAAUAAAUUGUGGAAUUUGUAUACCAGGAAAUUGUCCAAGAAUUCAAAUAACUCGCUGAAAGUUGAAGCUUGGCCAGAGGUUCAUUUCUCACAAAGUUCCAAACCCUCUCUCUUUGAAAGGAAUCAUGAUAACAUUUUUUAACAGCUACUCUCAAAGUUCUUGAAUGUUUUUCUUCUGAAGGGCAAUUACUUGAGUAACUGUUAAUAAAUCUUUUGGUGGAAAGGCAAGGAAUACCAUUACUGUAUGCAUUUGGUGUAAUGUUAGAGUCUUAGUUAUAAAAUUAUUUUACCUUUCAUGCAGGCUGUAAGCCCCAGCUCUGGACAUUUAAUAAUGAGUUAUAAUUUUUAUUGGUGCAGUCAAUUAUCUAUACUUAAUUUUUUGAGUAAAAAUUGCACAAUACCAUAUACAUCUACAGCUAUGAACUGACUAAUUUUGUUGUCUAGCACUCUGUGUUGGACCUAGAGAGUGUGUGUUUUGAUAGCCACAUUUAUAGCUUUUUUUUUUUCAAGUUCAUACCUCUGUCUUGCAUUCAGGCCUCACUAGAAGAACCGGAGUGCUUCUCUUAAGAUGGUUAGAUUCUUCCAUUGAUAUCUAUCAGGUGAUCAUAUCAUUUUCACUCGUGUCUAUAAUCGCAUUUCCAAAAACAAAUAGCAUCUACCAUCUGCCUAAACAUAACAGUACCACAGAUUUUUCUCCCCAAUCCUACUGCCCUUUACUUGUUACCGAAUAUUCCUUUGCACUGGGUGAUCAUGUGUCACUGUGAUUGGUUUGGUAAAUACCUGAAUGGCCAACAGCUGUGCAGGAAGAGGUUAGGCUGGACUUCUGGGAAGAGUGUGAUCUUGGGGAAGAAGGAAGGUGGAAUCGCCAGCCUGAUGCGGAGGAAGCAGGACGUGCAAAGGAGAGAUAAGAGCUAUGAGCCACGACGCAGCACACAGAUUAACGAAAAUGAUUUAACUUAUAAGAGCUAGUGAGAAACAAGCCCAAGCUAAGGCUAAGCUUUCAUGAUCUAUAAUAACUUUUAUGUCAUGAUUUGAAGGCUGGCAGUAAAAAAAAAAAAAAGCCUGCUACAUUUACCCAAGCAUAUCCUGUCUUGACUUUUUGUUAAUUGAGUGUUCUUUGGGUGAGAUGAGGCAUAAAACUUGUGAUUCUUAUGCCUUAUGUAUUUGAUCCAGUCGUAUAGCACUUCUCUGACCCUUUUUUUAUAUAGUCCUCCAGCAUCUACCACACUGUUGUCCCAUCCGUCUCACGGUGUACAAGUGAUCACCUCCUUGAAAAUCCACAAACAAUCACUUUUCUGUCGACUCUGUCUUCUCAGAUGGUGAAGCCAGGUGUCACAGGAGAGUGAGCCCACAUCAGAAUCAGUGUUUCUUACACAAAUUUCACGUUUUUUACUCUCGAUUCACGAUUGUUCUCACAAUUCUUGUCAGUAUGUAGAACAUGAUACAUUGGGGGGAGGUCAUAGCAUUUUGCUUUGCUUAGCAUUCUGUUUAUAUCAUAAUUUCACUAUAAGAAUGGGUUUGUUGCCAAAGAUUAUUGAUGUCAAAAGUUCUGAAGGGAGAUGAAUAUAUUUCCAUACACUGGUGAAUCAUUUAGACUCUGAAAGCUUUGAGGAGAGCCCACAAGAUGGUUUUUCCAGGUAAAGCCCUUUGCAGCCUGCCAAGCCCAGUGACCUGUUUCCCCUGUCUAGCUAUCGUAGGCGGCAUUUUGAAAUUGUCCCAAGAUUUAAAAGUUGUGGCAUAUAUAACCCCUGUAAUCUUUUUUUGUGAUAUAGUAUACACCCGUGACUAUAUUGUGAAAUGUCUUUCAUAACUAUGUUAACGAUCAACUGAUAUUUGUGUUAAUUCUUGAGAUUGUAUUUUAACCACAUCUCCCUUCUCAUCCCCCCCCCUCCAAAGUCUGCAUACGUACUUCCUCACUCUGCUCCCAAAUCAUGACAUUGUUUCUAGCUGAAGAACCCACCUGCCUCCAUUUUAAGCUUAAAAGCCAUUUCGUAGUAAAGACAAGUAGACUGUUCCUGUUUAUAAUCUUUAGUUUGAACUCUAAUUUCUGCCUCUGGGUUUUUAUUAUUCAUGGUACAACAGGGUUCUUAUUUAUGCCUCUGUUCUUGGGAUGUGUCCUCAAUGUGGGAACUUUUUCUCAUAAGCUCUAUUUAUCUGAAUUUUUAAGGCACACGACUCAUAUCUUCUGUUUCAGCAGUUUCUCUAUUUCUCAAUUAUCAUACGGAAUGUUUAGACUUUUACUAAUACAUAACAAAUACAAAGAAGCAGAACUCAAAUGCUUUCAAACCUACUUUUCAGGUCUGACUCUUUGAUGUAGAGCUUCUACCUUUCUCUUUGAUCUUCCCUGUUGAUUUCAGUUCAGCUUUGGCCUUGCAUGGUCCAGGUGGAAAACAAAGCAAAUGCUAACAUUAUAUUGAAAGUGCUACUUGCAAGUUGAUUUAGGAACCAAGAAACUUCAUAUAUCAACUGCAGUGAUGGCUCAAUAGGCAGAGUUUCCUGUUUCCAAGAUUGAUAGCUUGUAUUUAUCUUCAAUUCUGUGAAGCAUACAGUAGAAAGAAAAAACCUAAGUCCAGCAGAUUGCUCUCUGACCUCCAUAUGCAUGCCAUGGUCCAGCAACAAAUUUGCAUGUGUGCAUGUGCGUGUGCAUGUGCACAUGCAUACACACACACACACACAAAGCAUAUGUAAAAAAGACGGAUCUUAAAAAGAAACUCCUUAUACAUUAUUUAGAAUCCGGAACUACUGUCUCCUAGUUCCUGAACCACUGUGCUUAGAAUCAGAGAUAAACAGCUAAGAAUUAAGAAAUAGAUUUGUUCUUUCAUAACUCAUACUUACUUACUUGACAUAUGAAUGAGGGUCUACUAUUUUGGCUAAACAGUGACUACAACUGUAAAAGAAUGCAAUCAUCUUGUUUUGGGCAUUGUUGCAUUGGAAGAAGUCAUGUGAUAGCGUAGUCAUUCAUUUUAAAUAUAAAUCUUUUCUAAGUUAAUCUCUGAAAGCAUGAAGCAAAAUUCCAUGAGAGUCAUACAUAGAUCCAAUCUACAUGAGAAGUAAAAAAAAAAAGACAUAAUUUCUUGAAUAAAUCGGGAGCAUGGGGAACUUGGGAGGGAGUUAAAAGGGAGAGGCGAGACAGGGAGGGGAACAGAGAAAAAUGUAGAGCUCAAUAAAAAAAAUAAUAAAAAAAUUCCCAUGACUUUCUUAACCUUGCAUCCUUCGUGCCUUGGAAACUGAUUUCACAUAGAUGACCCUGCCGAGCUAUUGCACAGCUCUAAAUGGAGCCUGGCCCUCUUAGAUCAUGGUUUCAUCUACUUUUGUGUGCUAAUGUUCUUCUAUGCAAUUGUUUGUGUGGUGCAUGAAAUAUUAUUAGCUGCAUUUGUAGCUUCUUGGCAUGGACCUGCAUAUUUACAACUCAAAACCUUUUCAGUGAUGACUAAAGAUGUUGAAGACUUUUUCAAAUACUUUAGCCAUUUGUAUUUAUCCUUGUAAGACUUGCUUUUUCAUUGAAAUGCACACUAGAACUAAUUAGAGAUUUCACCUCAUCUCAGUCAAAAUGGCCAUCAUUAAGAAUUUUUUUAUUUUAAAAACAAAACAAAACAAAACAAAAAAAACCUUUGUUGGGUAAAAGAUUGCCCUCUGGACAGUUUUCCUACUGAUUCAGUAUAACAUAGGAGGGUUUUGGGUUGUUUUAUUUUUUUUUUUUUUUUUACUUUUGCUAUUUUUUCUCAGUUACAGUUGCUUUAUUGUCUUCAGUCUCCUGUCUGAGAUUUUUAACUUUGCUCACUUUUCUUCACACUCACCCAAAAUCAACCCUUUAUCUUUAGCAUCAACUUUAGUCACACCCUCACAACGUGUGCAGAAUGAAGCCUUAGCCAGGUCCUUAUAGUGUCAUUGUUCCCCUCUGAAAUCCCAUGAGCUGGCCCAGCUUCCACUGUCCGUGUUUCCCUUAGCAUUUCUGUCUUCUUAGCUCUCACUAGAAUAGCGAUGUAACCUCUGCUUCUAGCAUCAUAAGACUUUAUAAGCCCGAAGUUCCAAAGUUUUUACACAAGUUUUUUUUCCAAAGGCCUAAAAUUAAAUAGUCUGGUUUAUCACACAACAGCCCCACUUGUUGGUACCAAUUUCUGUCUUCGUUUCUUUGACUGUGACUAUGAUGAACUAUUUUAGAAAAAAUAAGUUAACAGAAGAAAACUUUCUUUUGGCUUAUAACUCAACGAUUGUCCAUCCCAGUGGGAAGUCAUAGUUCUAAGAACCUGAGACAUUGGAUAACAUCACAUACACGCUUGGGAACAGGGAGCAAUUAGUGCCUCUUAUUGCUCAGUUACUAUUUUCAUAUCAUCACACACAGUAUGCAGCUUUCCACAAUAAUUAAUGCAAAACAGUUUCUCCUAUGUAUGGCCAAUGACUUGUCUCCCAGUUUAGUCUAUGGUCUGUUAUCUCGAAAAUUAAUAUCAAGCACUAUUAGUGUAUGUGUGUGUGUGUGCUUUUUUUACAUGUGUUUACAAGUAAUUUAUGGGUCUAAUGUAUAACAAUUUAAACAAUAGCAUGCUGAUAUUCAUUCAUAAGUUUCUCUGGGAUAAUUUUUGACAAUAUAUUAGGGAUAGGAUUAGAGUUAGGGUUAACAAGUCUUAAAAAACCCCUCUUUACUUUCAGUCUCUGUUGUUUCUAGAAAAUACUGAGAAGCAUAUAAAAGGCUGUUUACUUGUGUUAACUUUUAUUCACGUUUAGUAAUACUUCUAGGCUUUACCUUUUCAAGUUUCUAACCACAGACAGCUUUAUGUCAAAUUAAAUUUGGAUUUCAUAUAAACCUGCGGAUCCCUGACCAUUGGCAAUUCAUUGCUGCCCAUCCAAAUGGAGAAGGGAACUUGUCAGCUCAUUUGUCUAGUAUCAUUUACAGAAUCAAAGGUUUAUAUUUUUAAGUGAUUAAGCGUUUUGAUCUAAAAGCUCUCACCGAAACGUUCAGGGUCUUUGCAUCUACCAAGAACAAAUUAUCAAAAAUGCUUUUCAUCCAUCACUGUUUGCAUAUUGUGUCCAACAGCUAUGGAGAAGGAGUCCUGAUUACACUCGUGAGUAUUUCAGUUUUGAUGAUGAAGUGGAACUCAUGAAGAAGAUGGGCUCUGACAAAUAGCUAUUGUCCUGAUUAAUCUUAGUAAAAAUGGAAUCAAGACAAUCAAAACAUAUUUCAUUAACAAAUGUAGACUUGGAUUUCAGUAAAUAUGUGUGCAUGCAAUUAGAAGAGAAUUAGUUUUGCUUUUUAUUUGUGGGAAGAGACUGCGAUGUAUCAAACAUUUCUUUAGGUGUUGUUAGGUGAUUAUCUGGUGAUUUUGUUUUCCUUCCAGAAUGAAAUUCAGACUUAUAAUUAUUACCAAAACAUGCUGUCCUUGGGGAGAAACAUGUGUUUCAUGUUAAAUGCUGAGACUUGAGGAGGAAGGGGAAAGGAAAGAAAGCCUCUCAAGUAACUCACUCUCUACAGUGUAUUUGAAAAUGCUGGGCUUUCUCCUUCUCAGCAAAUCUUACUAACCCGUGGAUCAAAAUUUUAUCUUAACAAAGAAAAAUAGAGUUUGUAGAACAGUUUGCUUUCCACCUCCUUUUCUUGCAUGACCACAGACUGAACCCUUCUCUCUAGCUGCGCUGUUUCCACUGUUUCAUUCCCUGAUGUAAAAUUAUAUCAUGUUUCCAUUGUUUCUGGAUAAACUCAAGCACAGGCUGAACCCACCAUGGCUUGCUGCUUUGAUCUAAGCCUCAGACAGAAAUAUUGUAAAAUAUGUGCAAACUGUCUCUUUCUCAUAAAAACCAAGCUUUUUUUCUGGAGUGGAUCUGGGGAGCUGCAGGCCUCCAUCAGUCUACUUUUCCAGAAACCUGACAAGAAAGGACUAGCUCCAGACAAUCACAUAAAUAAAGGGGCGUUCAUAAAGACUUGGGCUUGUCUCACCCUCCUGCAAAUUCUGAUUUAGCAUUUUUCCUAGAACUAUUCCCAUGGGUUUGUAGCUUUUAUGAUUUUUGUUUUCCUUUUCUACGUCUUAACAUCACUGACAUUAGUUUAAAUCGUUUAAUAACUCCAUUGAAUUCUGACCAAUCUAAAAUGUAAACGAACAACUAAAUAAUUCCCUAAGUUCAAAAUUGAUCCGUAUGGCUUUUUAAUAUUGUCCUUAUCUGGCAUUAAAUACGUUUAACCUAGUCACAAAGGGCAGAUUCUGAGGUUGGAUUUAGGACACACAUGGGACAUUUGAAUUAGUUCUACUUCUAUUUUGUCUCUGAAAACAUUUGGAGAUACCAUAAAGAUUAUCUCAAAUCCUCAGAAAUAGGCUACAUCUUACUGUCACCUCAUGUAUGAAAUGCUCUCUGCCCACUACCUCCUGAGCUUCCUACCACAGACGCAAUAUUAAAAUCCACUUUUCAAAGUAAACUUUUAAACUUUACAGAAUUUAUUCUUUGAUAAUUUUAUCCAUGUAAAAUGCAUUCAUUGCUUAUAACCCUACAGAUACUCUAGUUUUGUUUUUUUGUUUGUUUUGUUUCUACCCUUAUUUCCCCUCCUCCUCUCUAUACGUCUCAUUCCAAUUAUUAUUUAUUUAUUUGUUUGUUUGUUUAUCUCACUCUGUGACCCACUAGGGUUAACCACGAUCAUCCGUCUCACCAUAGGUUAAGAACUAUUCAUUGGAAGCUGUUGAGUUCUGUAAUAGUUAUACAAAUGAAGAUAGUAACUGUUUCUUCCCCCAGAAUCCAUAUGCUACUUAAAGUGUUCAACAGACAGGGUAGAGUCCUUUGUGAUCCCUUCCUGGUUGACUCUAGGUUGUGUUGAGUUGACAAUAAAUCCUAACCAAGCAAUAUUCAGCCCUCAUCGAAUUGCUGCACAAACACAUCGCUGCUAAGCCAUAAUCUUUCCUUUCCUCUUGGUUGCCAAUCUCAUGUCAUAUCAUAAUAAAUAAUAUAAUCAACCUUAAGAGUCUCACAGUCUUUUGAAUUUCAACCGUUUAAAUGUUCAAUUUCUCUUUUAAAGCCUCUUAACUUUUGUAUUAAUAAAAUGAGGGGGAGAGAGAGAGAGAGACAAACACUUAAAUAUGCUAAAAGGGAAAAAUACAGAUGUAGGAGCACUUAGCAGUAUAAAUAAAACCCUGUAUCUCUCAGUGUCUUGCAAUUAAGACUCAGUUCUUAUGUUCUGAGCUCCCGAAGGCUUGGAUAGCUCAUUUCACUGAGUCUUCCACCCACAGCACACAUAACUAAUCUCAAAAGUUCGGGAUGGCUCUACUUUGUCUUUUACUUGCCACUGUCUUUAGUAGACAUCCCAUGGUCAUAACAUACCCAGCAUUCUGAGGUCUCCACUGCACCUGAGGUGGCACCUUUUUCUUACCAAUUGGCCCCUGUGAGCCAAUCAGUGGGACGGCCAACCCUGUCCUACAGUGAGAAGCAUAAUGCUACCCGUGAUGCCCUCUUGCAUACGGAAGUUUCAUGCAUGUCAUUUGUCAUCGUCUGCUGAUAACUUGGUGUGUACGCUGUACACCCCCAAGCCACAGCUUCUGAGUGCUGACCCCGAAGAAACACUUCUCAGUGCACUUCACUGAUGCCAGUCCCUUAUUAACUGUAGCUGAAUUUUCAGCAUAGAGUACAAUAUUUCAUUGUACUAGAAAAGCACAGAAGUUUUUCUUUCUACUGAUUUUUUUUUUCGGGGGAAACAGUGUCUUUAUUCUAAUUCUGUUCAUAAAGCACCAAACUAUAUAAUUUACAAAUGGUAACCUUCAUUCUUUAGAAUAGGAAAAAAAAACAUUGUAAUGAAACCAUCCCAUCCAUUCACCGAAAACAGAUAAUUCAGGCAUAUAAACCCAUUAAAAUGCUUGAAUACUAAACUUACAAGUGAACACCUAAAUGUGUACAUUAGUGGUAGGAAUGCUCUUCUCAGGGAGGUUCAAUCGUUACAACACAAAUAACACAGUUAUGCUUCCUAAUUAGUUCAGGCUUAUUCAGCUACCACUGAGCAUUUAAAAAACCUUCACAUGUGCUCAGUUGAGGUCGGAGACUUCUGGAAAGGCAGAUCCCUUGUACUUGUGCCUCUGUUUCCCUUUAUAUUCUCUAGAUAUCUUCCUUCUGUAGGAUAUAAUUCCUUGUUCCAUUUUUUUUGCAGUCUUCAGUGGUGUCCUCCAGCCUUUAAAUAUUCAUCCCAGGAAGGUGCAGAUUCCUGAAUGUAUGAGCCGUCUACUGAUUUUUAACUAGAAAUAUCAUAAUAAUGGCCCCAACAGAGUCUUUGCUCCUCUCUGAAUCUUCAAAAUCUAGGCCCCAGUUUCAUGUUUCUUUCAGCAUUCUUAGCUUCUAAUUCCCCAUAGAACAGGUUCUUAAGUUCUAAUCACAAAAUGGAUUUUCUAGCCUAAAGCAAUAAAGUACUCCAGAAUUCUCCCUAAAACCUGUAUAGUCAAGUUCAUUAUAGAAACAACUCCACUCAUGGUACCAAUUUUUGCUCUAUUAUAUUUUCUAGUCCUGUGACAAACAGUGCCCAAAAGCAACUUGAGAGAGGAGGCAUCUUGUUUCAUUUAAAUUUCAAGUUAAUAGUCCUAAUAACUAAGACAAAUUAAAGCAGAAACUUAAGCAGGUGCAACUUACCUACCACAGAACUUAACAAUCAAGCCAAUUAUUCACAGAAAAGGCCACAGGCCAAUAUGACCUAGGAAAUUAUUCAACGAAAGGUUCUCGUUUUCAAGUUGACUCUGAGCUAUGUCAAAUUGACAAUCAAAACUAUCUAGCAGACUAGACUGACUUCUAAUAUUUCACCAAUCUCUUCUUCUCAACUCCCCUUCUAUAUUUCCUUUUGCUCCAAACUUUCAGCAUAUUCCUGUUCCUAGUCCAUGAUACCCAGUGCCUUCCAUAGCAUUACGGUAAGCUAACCUUUCCGAUUACUUUUGCCUCUGGGGUCCUGUGAAAAAGGAGAUGGAACUUGGGGGUCUCUAAUGAAAGAAUGAAAAUUGCAUGGGAGAAUGAAUUUAGUUACUUCUAGUGAUUUGGCUCCAAAGUAGCCUUGAGAGAAUAAUAUUCAUAAGGUCCUUUAGUACUACAUCAGUAUCCAGGUGUUUGGUAGAUUUCUUCUGAUUUUGUUGUCAAACUGUGGAGUUAAACGUCAGGGUAAUAGUGUGGCAUGUCUUUAAAUUAUACACAAAUGCUUGUCUCAUAAAUCAUCUCAAAUUAGAUUUGUCUCCAGUUUUCUUAUUGCCUUUCACAAAAACAUAACAUCAACUACAUAAGCACAUGGACAUAGUCUUAUUUGAAUAUGUCUUUGAUGUUCCCCACAAAAACUCAUAUAUUAGAAAAUUAGUUCACAUUGUGGUAGUAUAAAAAAGUGGCAGAAUCUUCAAGAACCAGGUCACUAGAGGUCUUGUCCAUUGAAAUACUUAGAGAUCAUUGCAGAGUGAUUUAGUGAUGUAUAACCUGAUUAGUUUUGGUCUCUGAUAUUUUGCUUCUCUGCGUGCUCUCUUCUAUAGUUUAUGAGGCCCUUACUAUGGCUAAAGAGGAACAGCAGCUUUACUCUUGUACCAUUAGAACUGUGACCUAAGUAAACCUUUUCUUCAUGAAUACUAAGCCUCUAGCAUUUUGUUACAGUAAUGGAAAAAUGAACUAACAAGAAAUUGCUGUAAAUACAAUUCUGAGGUUAUUAUUUUAUUCAUAUUGGACAUAAAAACAAAAUUGCAUGGCAUUGAUAAUUUUAUUUCAAAAAAGCACUCACUGAGGAGCUGGGAAUUUGCUGGU